rnacentral:rRNA from 1 species
UGAAGUCGGAAUCGCUAGUAAUCGUGGAUCAGAAUGCCACGGUGAAUACGUUCCCGGGCCUUGUACACACCGCCCGUCACACCAUGGGAGUGGGCUGCAAAAGAAGUAGGUAGUUUAACCUUCGGGGGGACGCUUACCACUUUGUGGUUCAUGACUGGGGUGAAGUCGUAACAAGGUAGCGCUAGGGGAACCUGGCGCUGGAUCACCUCCUUAAACGAUGAU